AGCGAAUGGAUUAAGAGCUUGCUCUUAUGAAGUUAGCGGCGGACGGGUGAGUAACACGUGGGUAACCUGCCCAUAAGACUGGGAUAACUCCGGGAAACCGGGGCUAAUACCGGAUAACAUUUUGAACCGCAUGGUUCGAAAUUGAAAGGCGGCUUCGGCUGUCACUUAUGGAUGGACCCGCGUCGCAUUAGCUAGUUGGUGAGGUAACGGCUCACCAAGGCAACGAUGCGUAGCCGACCUGAGAGGGUGAUCGGCCACACUGGGACUGAGACACGGCCCAGACUCCUACGGGAGGCAGCAGUAGGGAAUCUUCCGCAAUGGACGAAAGUCUGACGGAGCAACGCCGCGUGAGUGAUGAAGGCUUUCGGGUCGUAAAACUCUGUUGUUAGGGAAGAACAAGUGCUAGUUGAAUAAGCUGGCACCUUGACGGUACCUAACCAGAAAGCCACGGCUAACUACGUGCCAGCAGCCGCGGUAAUACGUAGGUGGCAAGCGUUAUCCGGAAUUAUUGGGCGUAAAGCGCGCGCAGGUGGUUUCUUAAGUCUGAUGUGAAAGCCCACGGCUCAACCGUGGAGGGUCAUUGGAAACUGGGAGACUUGAGUGCAGAAGAGGAAAGUGGAAUUCCAUGUGUAGCGGUGAAAUGCGUAGAGAUAUGGAGGAACACCAGUGGCGAAGGCGAC
rnacentral:rRNA from 1 species